rnacentral:rRNA from 1 species
AGCAGCCGCGGUAAUUCCAGCUCCAAUAGCGUAUAUUAAAGUUGUUGCAGUUAAAAAGCUCGUAGUUGAACUUCAGGCCUGUCCAGAUGGUCCGCCUUAAUUGGUGUGUACUGUCCUUGGGUGGGUCCUACCUUCUGGCGAAGCGGCAUGGCCUUAGUUGGUUGUGUCGGGGAACCAGGACUUUUACUGUGAAAAAUUAGAGUGUUCAAAGCAGGCAUAUAUGCUCGAAUACAUUAGCAUGGAAUAAUGGAGUAGGACGAUGGUUCUAUUUUGUUGGUUCUAGGACCGUUGUAAUGAUUAAUAGGGAUAGUUGGGGGCAUUAGUAUUCAAUUGUCAGAGGUGAAAUUCUUGGAUUUAUUGAAGACUAACUACUGCGAAAGCAUUUGCCAAGGAUGUUUCCAUUAAUCAAGAACGAAAGUUAGGGGAUCGAAGACGAUCAGAUACCGUCGUAGUCUUAA